rnacentral:rRNA from 1 species
UACAGAGGUCUCAAGCGUUGUUCGGAUUCAUUGGGCGUAAAGGGUGCGUAGGUGGCGCGCUAAGUCAGGUGUGAAAUUUCGGGGCUUAACUCCGAAACUGCAUUUGAUACUGGCGUGCUUGAGGACUGGAGAGGAGACUGGAAUUCACGGUGUAGCAGUGAAAUGCGUAGAUAUCGUGAGGAAGACCAGUGGCGAAGGCGGGUCUCUGGACAGUUCCUGACACUGAGGCACGAAGGCCAGGGGAGCAAACGGG